rnacentral:rRNA from 1 species
AUUGAACGCUGGCGGCAGGCCUAACACAUGCAAAUCGAGCGGAUGAAGGGAGCUUGCUCCUGGAUUCAGCGGCGGACGGGUGAGUAAUGCCUAGGAAUCUGCCUGGUAGUGGGGGAUAACGUCCGGAAACGGGCGCUAAUACCGCAUACGUCCUGAGGGAGAAAGUGGGGGAUCUUCGGACCUCACGCUAUCAGAUGAGCCUAGGUCGGAUUAGCUAGUUGGUGGGGUAAAGGCCUACCAAGGCGACGAUCCGUAACUGGUCUUAGAGGAUGAUCAGUCACACUGGAACUGAGACACGGUCCAGACUCCUACGGGAGGCAGCAGUGGGGAAUAUUGGACAAUGGGCGAAAGCCUGAUCCAGCCAUGCCGCGUGUGUGAAGAAGGUCUUCGGAUUGUAAAGCACUUUAAGUUGGGAGGAAGGGCAGUAAGUUAAUACCUUGCUGUUUUGACGUUACCAACAGAAUAAGCACCGGCUAACUUCGUG